AUUGAACGCUGGCGGUAGGCCUAACACAUGCAAGUCGAACGGCAGCACAGAGGAGCUUGCUCCUUAGGUGGCGAGUGGCGGACGGGUGAGGAAUACAUCGGAAUCUACUCUGUCGUGGGGGAUAACGUAGGGAAACUUACGCUAAUACCGCAUACGACCUACGGGUGAAAGCAGGGGACCUUCGGACCUUGCGCGAUUGAAUGAGCCGAUGUCGGAUUAGCUAGUUGGCGGGGUAAAGGCCCACCAAGGCGACGAUCCGUAGCUGGUCUGAGAGGAUGAUCAGCCACACUGGAACUGAGACACGGUCCAGACUCCUACGGGAGGCAGCAGUGGGGAAUAUUGGACAAUGGGCGCAAGCCUGAUCCAGCCAUACCGCGUGGGUGAAGAAGGCCUUCGGGUUGUAAAGCCCUUUUGUUGGGAAAGAAAUCCAUCUGGUUAAUACCCGGGUGGGAUGACGGUACCCAAAGAAUAAGCACCGGCUAACUUCGUGCCAGCAGCCGCCGUAA
rnacentral:rRNA from 1 species